AUUGAACGCUGGCGGCAUGCCUUACACAUGCAAGUCGAACGGUAACAGGUCUUCGGAUGCUGACGAGUGGCGAACGGGUGAGUAAUACAUCGGAACGUGCCCGAUCGUGGGGGAUAACGAAGCGAAAGCUUUGCUAAUACCGCAUAAGAUCUACGGAUGAAAUCAGGGGACCGCAAGGCCUUGCGCGAACGGAGCGGCCGAUGGCAGAUUAGGUAGUUGGUGGGAUAAAAGCUUACCAAGCCGACGAUCUGUAGCUGGUCUGAGAGGACGGCCAGCCACACUGGGACUGAGACACGGCCCAGACUCCUACGGGAGGCAGCAGUGGGGAAUUUUGGACAAUGGGCGAAAGCCUGAUCCAGCCAUGCCGCGUGCAGGAUGAAGGCCUUCGGGUUGUAAACUGCUUUUGUACGGAACGAAAAGACUCUGGUUAAUACCUGGGGUCCAUGACGGUACCGUAAGAAUAAGCACCGGCUAACUACGUG
rnacentral:rRNA from 1 species